rnacentral:rRNA from 1 species
AGUGAACGCUGGCGGCAGGCCUAAUACAUGCAAGUCGAACGGCAGCACGGCAGAGCUUGCUCUGUGGGUGGCGAGUGGCGGACGGGUGAGGAAUACAUGGGAAUCUGCCCAGUCGUGGGGGAUAACGUAGGGAAACUUACGCUAAUACCGCAUGCGCCCUUCGGGGGAAAGCCGGGGACCUUCGGGCCUGGCGCGAUUGGAUGAGCCCAUGUCGGAUUAGCUAGUUGGCGGGGUAAUGGCCCACCAAGGCAACGAUCAGUAGCCGGUCUGAGAGGAUGAACGGCCACACUGGGACUGAGACACGGCCCAGACUCCUACGGGAGGCAGCAGUGGGGAAUCUUCCGCAAUGGACGAAAGUCUGACGGAGCGACGCCGCGUGAGUGAUGAAGGCCUUCGGGUCGUAAAGACUCUGUCAUCGGGGACGGAACGGCCGUCAGCAGGUAAUGGCUGGGGAGUUGACGGUACCCGAGAAGGAAGCCACGGCUAACUACGUGCCAGCAGCC